AGAUGUCUAUGAGUUUUAUCCAAUGGCGGAACCAAUGUUCGCUCUCUAUCUGUUGUGGUGUGGGACGUUAAUGGUUGAUGCACACUGCUACACUGUUUGACAGGAAAACAAAAUCCCUAUUAAGUUAGUAAUGUACCACUCAACAAGCUUUAUUUACCCCUACAGUAAAUGCAGCCAAUGAGUGACUGAGGGCUGGCGGAGGUUUGGCUGGGAGUCUGCCGACCCAAAACAUCAUUUCUGCAAAUGUAUCCUCCAGACCCACCCUGCUGUGCCUUCCAAUGACGACAAUGACUACAAAGACACCACAAGCACCGACAGCCAAUCAGCAGGAAGUAGAGUUUCACAAAUUCCUCAAUAAAGUCACCAAAACAUCACCGUGGAGUUAUUGAUUGGAGAGCUAGCUUCCGCAACUAGUGGGUCCAUGACGAUGACUGACGUUUUGUUGGAUCUGCCAUUUUACUGCCAUGUUACAGACAAUUAAGCCUGCGCAGCAAGAAGGGACGGAGAACUUUGUGCAAACGACGGAUGAUCAAGAUGGUCUCCUCUUCAUUGAGGUCCACCUGCAGGAGACCAGGCACACCUUC